rnacentral:rRNA from 1 species
AUUGAACGCUGGCGGCAGGCCUAACACAUGCAAGUCGGACGGUAGCACAGAGGAGCUUGCUCCUCGGGUGACGAGUGGCGGACGGGUGAGUAAUGUCUGGGGAUCUGCCCGAUAGAGGGGGAUAACCACUGGAAACGGUGGCUAAUACCGCAUAACGUCGCAAGACCAAAGAGAGGGACCUUCGGGCCUCCCACUAUCGGAUGAACCCAGAUGGGAUUAGCUAGUAGGCGGGGUAAUGGCCCACCUAGGCGACGAUCCCUAGCUGGUCUGAGAGGAUGACCAGCCACACUGGAACUGAGACACGGUCCAGACUCCUACAGGAGGCAGCAGUGGGGAAUAUUGCACAAUGGGCGCAAGCCUGAUGCAGCCAUGCCGCGUGUAUGAAGAAGGCCUUCGGGUUGUAAAGUACUUUCAGCGGGGAGGAAGGCGAUAAGGUUAAUAACCUUGUCGAUUGACGUUACCCGCAGAAGAAGCACCGGCUAACUCCGUGCCAGCAGCCGCAGUAA